rnacentral:rRNA from 1 species
CCUACGGGUCGCACCAGUGGGGAAUUUUCCGCAAUGGGCGAAAGCCUGACGGAGCAAUGCCGCGUGUGUGAAGAAGGCCUUCGGGUUGUAAAGCACUUUCAGUAGGGAGGAAGGUAGUGUAGUUAACACCUGCAUUAUUUGACGUUACCUACAGAAGAAGCACCGGCUAACUCCGUGCCAGCAGCCGCGGUAAUACGGAGGGUGCGAGCGUUAAUCGGAAUUACUGGGCGUAAAGCGCAUGCAGGCGGCCUGUUAAGUCAGAUGUGAAAGCCCGGGGCUUAACCUCGGAAUUGCAUUUGAAACUGGCAGGCUAGAGUCUUGUAGAGGGGGGUAGAAUUUCAGGUGUAGCGGUGAAAUGCGUAGAGAUCUGAAGGAAUACCAGUGGCGAAGGCGGCCCCCUGGACAAAGACUGACGCUCAGAUGCGAAAGCGUGGGGAGCAAACAGGAUUAGAUACCCCCGUAGUC